CGGAAAGCUGCAACGGGCCUUUUUUACUCAGUCUACGCCAUACCACCAAGGCUCGAGACUCACCGCUUUCGAGCUCAAAUCGCUGAAGAUACCGUCGACGAUGCUGUGCGACAGCAUGGUUGGGUCGCUAUUCCAGCACCACAGCAUCCACGCGAUCGCUGUUGGUGCAGACCGAAUCGCCCGGAAUGGGGACACUGCCAACAAGGUUGGGACAUACAAUGCAG
rnacentral:misc_RNA from 1 species